AUAAUUAGUUUUUUAUUCACAAAUCUUUGUCAAUUUUCCGCUUUUUCCUCUCUACCUUUGAUUAUAUUUCUUCACCUGAGAAUGCUUCCUCCUUGGAAUAAUCCAUCCCUCCACCUUCGGUUGCUACGGAAAGAAACAACUAAUAAGAUGUAGGGAAAUGGAAUCUUAAUGUGCCAUGGAGGAUGUACAGGUUUCUAAGGCUUUGAAAAUGAUGUAUUGGUGAAUCCUCAUCGAUUCGAGGACAAUAUCCACAUGUUCCUUUAUGUCUUGUAUGUGCUUAGUUCUUAGUGUUGUUAACUCUAAAGUUUAGAUGGUUCAAGUAGAUAUUGUAAAGAUUUAAUGUGUUAAAUUAAAGUUUUCCGCUUGUAUAAUGUUUAUGAAAGAUU